GACUUGGUAGCGGAGGGCGCGCACCUACUUCUCAUAUGCAUCUCUUAUGAUGGUCAAAACGAAGGGAUUUCUGGUUCGACUCCAGGCUGGGUCA